UUCGCUAUAGUCUAGGCGGUUAGGAUACGAGAUUCUCACGUCCCUGGCGUAAGAGAAAGCUCUCGAGACCCGGGUUCGAGUCCCGGUAGCGAAA
rfam:Gonium pectorale scaffold00370, whole genome shotgun sequence.